UUCGCAAUGCCCGAAAGGGUGACGAAGCGACGCCGCGUGUGGGAAGAAGGCCUUCGGGUUGUAAACCACUGUCGGGAGUUAAGAAAUGCAAGGAUAUGAAUAGUGUCUUUGCUUGACUAAGGCUCCGGAGGAAGCCACGGCUAACUCUGUGCCAGCAGCCGCGGUAAUACAGAGGCGGCAAGCGUUGUUCGGAAUUAUUGGGCGUAAAGAGCACGUAGGCGGCUAUGUAAGUCGGUUGUGAAAGCCUUCCGCUCAACGGGAGAACAGCAUCCGAUACUACAUGGCUUGAGUGCGGGAGGGGAGAGUGGAACUUCUGGUGGAGCGGUGAAGUGCGUAGAUAUCAGAAGGAACGCCGGCGGCGAAAGCGGCUCUCUGGCCCAUAACUGACGCUGAGUGUGCGAAAGCUAGGGGAGCAAACGGGAUUAGAUACCCCGGUAGUCCUAGCCGUAAACGAUGGGCACUAAGUAGAGGGGUUUU
rnacentral:rRNA from 1 species